GUCUUGACUCGGUCUCGACUAGUCCUGGUCUUGGACUUGUCUUGGACUCGACAAAGCUGGACUUGACUACAGCUCUACUUAUCCCACAGCAACAC